rnacentral:lncRNA from 1 species
AAGAGAAAAAAAAUCCCUUGUAGAUUUCAAAGAGAAAGAGUUUUAUGUGAAAAAUGUUCUUAGGAUCUUUUUGGUGAGAGAUGUGAGUUGGGUUUGAGAUUGGGAAAUGAUUGUGUAACUUGUAUGUUUUGGAAAAGGGUAGAACAAUGGAGAUUGAGUAUUAUAUGCAUGAGUUGAUCCUUUUCUUAGAUAUAUUAUGUGCAAUGUCAAGGCUACUU